GAUGAACGCUAGCGGGAGGCCUAACACAUGCAAGCCGAGCGGUAUUGUUUCUUCGGCAAUGAGAGAGCGGCGUACGGGUGCGUAACACGUGUGCAACCUGCCUUUAUCUGGGGGAUAGCCUUUCGAAAGGAAGAUUAAUACUCCAUAAUAUAUUGAACGGCAUCGUUUAAUAUUGAAAGCUCCGGCGGAUAGAGAUGGGCACGCGCAAGAUUAGCUAGUUGGUGAGGUAACGGCUCACCAAGGCGAUGAUCUUUAGGGGGCCUGAGAGGGUGAUCCCCCACACUGGUACUGAGACACGGACCAGACUCCUACGGGAGGCAGCAGUGAGGAAGAUUGGUCAAUGGGUGCAAGCCUGAACCAGCCAUCCCGCGUGAAGGACGACUGCCCUAUGGGUUGUAAACUUCUUUUGUAUAGGGAUAAACCUACCCUCGAGAGGGUAGCUGAAGGUACUAUACGAAUAAGCACCGGCUAACUCCGUG
rnacentral:rRNA from 1 species